CACGAUGCCACAAAGGCACAAAUGAGACCAACCGCGGAAGCCGAGCAGAUCCCAGUCGUGUCAUCUCAAAGCCUCAGAAAUGAAGAAACAGAAAAUAAGUCCUGACACAGUGUUGCAAUCAUUCUGUGUUGUCUUCCCUCAUGGCAUUUCGAACACCCGCCGUCUUAAAAAGAAACGAAAAAGCAAGGAAAAAGAAAAUCUGAUUUCUCAAAGUUCAUUUUGAAACAUGAAAAUAACUAGAACUGGGGGACUGGCCAACCACUAAAACCAUCGCCGGCAACGAUCAAUUCAGUUAGGAUUCACCUGUGCCAUGGAAGUGGCUGACAUUUUUCCGAAAUUGGUUGCCAUGCUGAUGACAAAGAUCGAAAACGGAAAAUCGUGCGGGGCUAACGAGCCCUCGGUGCCUUUUGCUGACCCAUCUGGAACUGGAAUCCAUUACGUCCACAUGCCCUCCACUUGGCAUUGUCACAGCCACGGCGUCCUUUGGUUGUCACAGGACCACUGCAGGACGUCAAGAGUGGGCCUCAUCAUUUCCAACCAGAGGUUUAAUUGCCUCAGGAGAUAUUAGAAUUACCAUACCAACAAUGGAGACAAAAGAGAGGCAAGGUUUUGAUUUCCAAAAUUGGAAAUUAUGGAGUCAAUUGUGAGACUCUAUUAGGAAAUAGAAGAAAUUUCUCUGGUCUGAUUUUUUCGGAUCAUCUCCAAAUACUCCAAGAGCAAACUUGGAGGUCUUAGCAUAUUAUUUUGCUCUGUAGCAAGGAUACAGGAUAUGACAUGAAGGAAGUUGGAGUCAGAGAAGAAGGGGCGGUAGGAAGCCCCCUCUCUCGGCUGGAAGAAGGCCAAGAAAGGCAGAGUUAGGACAAAGAGCUGAGCCGUGUGUGUCUUCUCCCUUUGUGUCUGUCAACAUUCCAGAAGUGAGAUGGGAGAGGAAGAAGCAAGGAGCCUGAAGACAUACAGGUACAAGGCGUUCGUGCCUUACUUCUCAGGAAAUCAACGGUAUCACAGUGAACCCCAAGUUCAACAUGGCACAAGAGCAAGACGGCACCAGACACCUCUAGAUUAGAUGUAGGGAGAUAUUCGGGGACUGGUGUGAGCUAGUCCCUGGUUACCUAUGUCCUGACUGUUUUAUGCAGCCAUGUGAAGGUGUCUUGCAUUCCAGUGAAAAGGCAGGAGCUUGGAGUCUGGACAAGUAGACAUCAC